rnacentral:rRNA from 1 species
UACAGAGGGUGCAAGCGUUAAUCGGAAUUACUGGGCGUAAAGCGUGCGUAGACGGUAGCGUAAGUCGGGUGUGAAAGCCCCGGGCUCAACCUGGGAAUUGCAUUCGAGACUGCUCUGCUAGGGUGCGGAAGAGGAGAGUGGAAUUCCUGGUGUAGCGGUGAAAUGCGCAGAUAUCAGGAAGAACACCCGUGGCUAAGGCGGCUCUCUAGUACGGUACUGACGCUGAGACGCGAAAGCGUGGGGAGCGAACAGG